CACCGCACAGGGCUGCAGUUAAGACUGAAUGGAUUUUAAGAUAUUGCAGAAAUUCUCUAGGGUUUCUCUCCCUCACCUCAUGCUCGCUGAUAUCAUCCCAGAAAAGCAGGGUUCACUAUCAUCGGUGUGCCCACUCCAACCCCCCACUUCAGGUGAGGACUGAGGUCAUCAAAAGGGGCCUAACAAAUCACUGACUUCAGAUGUUAAACUAAUGGAUUCCAGAAGGAAAAUGAAAUGGGCAAGCAUGGCUCAGACAUGGCUGAGUCACUGUGAUUAUAGAUGUGUUGAAUCAAUAACGCUUUUAAAAUGGAUAUCUUUUACGUUUAAAAAAAAUGCUCACUUUAACCAGCAAAAAGAAAUGCAUCCAAUUGUCUUCCAGCGGUGUGAAUUCAUCUGGAAAUCUAUGACAAUCAAUUAAGUAAAUGAGCAAACAGAAUGCUUGUAAUUACGACAAUCAAGCUAUUUGAAACCCACCCUCUUUGGUCUGAUACCCACACAUCUUUAAGCAAUAUAUUAAUUAAACCGUGGGUAAUUGUUAUAAUUAAAAUCAAGCUUUGUAAUUUUUAAAAAUCACUCAGAGAGAGAAAAGGAACUAUCUUAAAAAUACAUGCAGCUGUUGGUUUUCAACACUACUCACCA